CUAUGAAAGGCAUCGUUGAACAUUAUUAACUUGAAUGAAAAGCUGAUAACAUUAGGAUCCAGACUGGAAUUCCAUUUAAGUCAUAAUUUGGUUGUAUGCUAGAAUUUGGAGGCCAGUAAGGUUUGACUUGGAUUCAUUUGGUAGAAAGAAUACUGAAAUAGGCUUUUGGAAUUUGAUUCUUCCAUGAAACUGUAGCCUUCAAUCUGGAUACUGUUGUGUUUUUAGGUCUCUCAUGGGCACUCCUUAGUCUUUUUUUAAGCUCUUUCUUGGAUUUGAAGAAACUUAGAAUGUUAGAGAAAUGAGGACCAUUGCCUUAGAGUGUGAAUUGCUUUCUUGGAAUAGUUUGGGGAUUUAAGUGAAUUGAAAUCUGAAGUAAGGGAGUUUCUGUGAGGUGCUUUUACUCCAAUGACGUAGCCAUAAAUAAAUUCAGUAAUCUACAUCUCGGACAUAGUAUGCUAGGGCGCAGUUUCAACACUGGGUUAUUAAAACAACUUUUUAUUGUGUUGAGUACACUGUUCAUUUUGUAAAGGAUGUUAUUUGACCCACAACACAAAAGUGGAGGCAAAUUCAUAGCAUUUUGAUUUGAGCCAGGAACUUAGAUUAAUUUGGCUUUAUGAGAGAGGCUUUGUCUUUCAGGGAUCAGUUAUUAAUGAAGUUUACAGAGAUGGAUGUAAGUAUAAAAUGGAAUCCAGCAUUUUAAUGUUCAGUGAGAACUAAAGCUGCAAGACAGUCUACAAUGUUUUAUUCUUCUUUGUAGGUAAACUUACAUAGAAAGCCAGAUUCCUAGACGGUUAUUCUUUGGUGAAAUAGAACAGGUAGUUUAUUUUAAGACCCAUUUUUCAGCAUUUAAGCUUGAGGCACCCAUCCACUGUAGAUCAGCAAGAGAUAUACCAGUCUGUUUAGCUGAACUGCCUUUCUAAGAUAGUGCUUGGAAAGGGCACUUUCCUUCUUGUUCUCAGGGUUUUCUUUUUGUUUUUUUAAUUCUCAGUAUACUAGGGAAAAUAGCAUUUACCAUUUGAGUCUAAUGGGCCAUUUUUAUUGUUUUUUAUAUUUUUAAGUCAUUUUACAUAUAAAUUUACAGAAGUAAGAAUAAAAAGGAUGGUGAAGAUAAACAUUAUUAGAUAUUUUAAUAAACAUUUAAACAAAGAAAUCCAAGUUUUUAUUGACAAUACAUGUACCUAAAAUGAGCAAAGUUUUCUGAAUAUUAACUUAUUGCUCAUCAGCUAUCAUACAUAAACCCAGAACAUACCCAUCUUGUAAAUGCUGAUAUCAGAUUUAAAGUCCAUCUCUGAUAAGUUCUAGUUUAUCAUUUCUUCCAUUUCAUCUCACACACUUGAAUUAUCAGAAUGCAAUGGUUUAAGAAUACGGUUGACCCUUGAACAACAUGGGUUUGAACUGCAUGGGUCCAUGUAUACCCGGAUUCCCCCCGUGUGGCUUGUGGAAGUCUUAGUUCCCUGACCAGAGAUUGAACCUGGGCCCUCGGCAGUGAAAGUGUAGAGUCUUGAACACUGGACCAUUCCCACUCAGAUUAUUUUCAAUAGAAAAUGCUACAGUACUGCAUGAUCAGUGGUUGGUUGAGUUCGCAGAUGUGGAACUGCGUAUACAGAAGGCCGUCUGUGUUACACUCAGCUUUCAACUGCAUGGAGGGUUGACGCCCCUAACCCCUUUGUUGUUCAAGGGUCGAUUGUAUUUUGGAACUUCUGAUGGCUUCUAAUUUUAUCGAAUAGAAUAUUAGCAUCUUUGCCCUGUAAUUACACCACUCUGAUAUUUAACCAGUUGGAUUGACUAAUGUGCAUUUCUUCGUCUUCUGUUUAUUUCUAGUCAAAGAAGAUGGCAGAGUAUUUUAGGAUGUAGGAAAAAUAAGGUUCUUGGAUUCUGUCUUAGAUUUAUGUAAGGGUUCAUUGGAUGCUUAAUAACAAUUGCAAGACAGAAUGAGUUUUAUUCUAUUCUAAAAAAAAGGUAAAAAUUUCUUAUUUUUUGGAAGAUCUGUAAGAAAGGAUAGAGUCAAGAAAUAGAUUUACUCAUAUAAGAAAUGCAGAAGCUAAAAUUGAGUUCACUGGAGCUUCAUUGGUAUAUUGGCUUUUUUUCCCCUCAGCUUUUCUCUAAUCAUGGUAUUCAGUAAAGUUGAUCAUGAAGUUUUGGCUUAUUUAUUUUUAAUUCCAGUAUUCCACCACUUCAAAGAUUUACUCUCAUUAUCAUCUUGAUAGAAGCUUCAGGCUUUACAAAACUGUUUGCCUAUCAGUAGUUGUUUGCAUUAUUUCAAAAUGGCUGUUAACAUGUAUUGAUUGGUAGAUUUCUCUGCCCACCUGUGUAGGGGCAACCUUAGCUUAAUCAAGAUUUUUGUGAGUGUUUCUUAGUCAUCUCUUCCCAGCCCCCCCUUCUUAUGUAUUGAAAAGAUAUCAAACUGCUGUAUCAUAAAAAAUAACUCUUAAUUCUCAAUGGAAACUUUUCUAAUGUAUUAUAUUUUAAAAUACUUGAUAAUUAUAGAAUACCUAAGAUACAGGGUUUUUUUUUUUUUUUGCAUAGGAGGUUUUGUAAGGUAUGUACUCUGCUAGAUGGACUAAAUGUGUGUAUAAUUUUUUUUGUUAGACUUUUAGUACAUUUAAGUUCCUCAGCAAGGGAUUUAAAUGUCAUACCUUGAAGGAAUUUUAAAAUAGGAAGAAAUUUUAAAAAACUUUCUAAAAACAGUUCUUAAUUUCAACAUUUUAUAAAUACUGAUAACAGAUUUAAAAUCCAUCUUAUUAAGGUUCUAGCUUAUCCUUACUUCUGAUACUUGAAUCAUCAGAAUGCCAUGCUCGAAGAUGAACAGUGUUGACAGAAACUGAAAGACCUAUGUUUUACACUAUGUAAAACUGUCUUCCCAGAAGCAUUUCUUCAAAAUAAUACUUAUUGGGACUUCCCUGGUGGCACAGUGGUUAAGAAUCCGCUUGCCAAUGCAGGGGACACGGGUUCCAUCCCUGGUCCAGGAAGAUCCCACAUGCUACGGAGCAACUAAACCCGUGCGCCACAACUACUGAGCCUGUGCUCUAGAGCCCGUGAGCCACAACUACCAAGCCUGCGCGCCUAGAGCCCAUGCUCCACAGCAAGAGAAGCCACUGCAAGGAGAAGCCUGUGUACUGCAAUGAAGAGUAGCUCCUGCUUGCCACAACUACAGAAAGCCUGUGCAGCAACGAAGACCCAA